UGUGAGAGCGAGCUUGCUCGCGAUAGCGGUGGUUCAGUUGUUGAAGAUAUUGGCUGUGCCGCCGUCAUCGCGAGCAAGCUCGCUCCCACA
rnacentral:misc_RNA from 1 species